CGGUGGAUGAUGUGGUUAAUUCGAUGCAACGCGAAAACCUUACCCACCUUUGACAUGGCAGGAAUCCCGAAGAGAUUUGGAGUGCUCGAAAGAGAACCUGCACACAGGUGCUGCAUGGCUGUCGUCAGCUCGUGUCGUGAGAUGUUGGGUUAAGUCCCGCAACGAGCGCAACCCUUGUCAUUAGUUGCUACGAAAGGGGCACUCUAAUGGGACUGCCGGUGACAAACCGGAGGAAGUGGGGAUGACGUCAAGUCCUCAUGGCCCUUAUAGGUGGGGGCUACACACGUCAUACAAUGGCCGGUACAGAGGGUAGCCAACCCGCAGGGGGAGCCCAAUCCCACAAAGCCGGUCGUAGUCCGGAUCGCAGUCUGCAACUCGACUGCGUGAAGUUGGAAUCGCUAGUAAUCGCGGAUCAGCAUGUCGCGGUGAAUACGUUCCCGGGUCUU
rnacentral:rRNA from 1 species